AGUGAACGCUGGCGGUAGGCCUAACACAUGCAAGUUGAACGGCAGCACAGUAAGAGCUUGCUCUUACGGGUGGCGAGUGGCGGACGGGUGAGGAACACAUCGGAAUCUACUUUUUCGUGGGGGAUAACGUAGGGAAACUUACGCUAAUACCGCAUACGACCUACGGGUGAAAGCAGGGGAUCUUCGGACCUUGCGCGAUUGAAUGAGCCGAUGUCGGAUUAGCUAGUUGGCGGGGUAAAGGCCCACCAAGGCGACGAUCCGUAGCUGGUCUGAGAGGAUGAUCAGCCACACUGGAACUGAGACACGGUCCAGACUCCUACGGGAGGCAGCAGUGGGGAAUAUUGGACAAUGGGCGCAAGCCUGAUCCAGCCAUACCGCGUGGGUGAAGAAGGCCUUCGGGUUGUAAAGCCCUUUUGUUGGGAAAGAAAAGCAGCAGGUUAAUACCCCGCUGUUCUGACGGUACCCAAAGAAUAAGCACCGGCUAACUUCGUG
rnacentral:rRNA from 1 species